rnacentral:rRNA from 1 species
GACGAACCGUGCGAACGUUAUUCGGAAUUAUUGGGCGUAAAGAGCUCGUAGGCGGUGUGUCACGUCGAUCGUGAAAACUUACAGCUUAACUGUGAGCGUGCGGUCGAUACGGGCAUCACUGGAGUUCGGCAGGGGAGACUGGAAUUCCUGGUGUAGCGGUGAAAUGCGCAGAUAUCAGGAGGAACACCGGUGGCGAAGGCGGCAUCCUGGACCAACACUGACACUGAUGAGCGAAAGCCAGGGGAGCAAACGGG